UCCCUGGUGGUCCAGUGGCUAAGACUCUGAGUUCCCAUCACAGGGGGCCCAGGUUCGAUCCCUGGUCAGGGAA
rnacentral:tRNA from 2 species